CUUUCUUUGCUGGCGACCGGCGCACGGGUGAGUAACACGUAUCCAACCUGCCCUUUACUCGGGGAUAGCCUUUCGAAAGAAAGAUUAAUACCCGAUAGCAUAAUGAUUCCGCAUGGUUUCAUUAUUAAAGGAUUCCGGUAAAGGAUGGGGAUGCGUUCCAUUAGGUUGUUAGUGAGGUAACGGCCCACCAAGCCUUCGAUGGAUAGGGGUUCUGAGAGGAAGGUCCCCCACAUUGGAACUGAGACACGGUCCAA
rnacentral:rRNA from 1 species